AUUGAACGCUGGCGGCAGGCCUAACACAUGCAAGUCGAACGAGUGGCGGACGGGUGAGUAAUGUCUGGGAAACUGCCUGAUGGAGGGGGAUCACUACUGGAAACGGUAGCUAAUACCGCAUACCAGCAGCUGUGCCCAGAUGGGAUUCGCUAGUUGGUGGGGUAACGGCUCACCAAGGCGACGAUCCCUAGCUGGUCUGAGAGGAUGGCCAGCCAAACUGGAACUGAGACCCGGUCCAGACUCCUACGGGAGGCAACAUUGGAGAAUAGUGCACAAGGGGCGCAAGCCUGAUGCAGCCAUGCCGCGUGUAGGGAGAAGGCCUUCGGGUUUUGAAGUACUUUCGGCGGGGAGGCGUUACCCGCAGAAUAAGCACCGGCUAACUCCGUGCCAGCAGCCGCGGUAAUAC
rnacentral:rRNA from 1 species